UAUGCCACACCCACAAGGAACUCCAGCAGUAACCAACAUUGAACAUAAGCGACAGCUUGAUUCAGUNAGAGUGAAGAGGGCCGGCAAAUGUGGUGCCAGCCGCCGCGGUUAUACCAUACGACCCAAGUUGACCUUANAGCGGCGUAAAGCGUGAUUAAAGUUACCCUGCCACNAUAGUUAAACUACAAAUUAGCUGUAAAACGCUUUUUACCUAGUAGACCCAAAAACGAAAGUUACUAUAUACAAAACAACUUGAAUUCACUACAGUUAGGGCACAAACUAGGAUUAGAUACCCUACUAUGCCUAACCAUAAACCUUCAACCUACACUAACAUCGCCAGGUGACUACGAGCAAAGCUUAAAACCCAAAGGACUUGACGGUACCCCACAUCCCCCUAGAGGAGCCUGUCCUUUAAAUCGAUAGUCCCCGAUUGACCUCACCAUUUUUAGCCCUCAGUCUGUA
rnacentral:rRNA from 1 species